UACGUAGGGCGCAAGCGUUGUCCGGAAUUAUUGGGCGUAAAGAGCUUGUAGGCGGUUUGUCGCGUCUGCUGUGAAAAUCCGGGGCUCAACUCCGGACUUGCAGUGGGUACGGGCAGACUAGAGUGUGGUAGGGGAGACUGGAAUUCCUGGUGUAGCGGUGAAAUGCGCAGAUAUCAGGAGGAACACCGAUGGCGAAGGCAGGUCUCUGGGCCACUACUGACGCUGAGAAGCGAAAGCAUGGGGAGCGAACAGG
rnacentral:rRNA from 1 species